rnacentral:rRNA from 1 species
CGGAAGAAGUAAAGUGAUGGAAAGCGGCGGACGGGUGAGUAACGCGUAGGCAACCUGCCUCUCACAGGGGGAUAGCCAUCGGAAACGGUGAUUAAUACCCCAUAAAGUCAAAAUAACACAUGUUAAACUGACCAAAGAUUUAUCGGUGAGAGAUGGGCCUGCGUCUGAUUAACUAGUUGGUGAGGUAACGGCUCACCAAGGUGACGAUCAGUAGCCGACCUGAGAGGGUGAACGGCCACAUUGGAACUGAGACACGGUCCAAACUUC